AGAGUUUGAUCCUGGCUCAGGACGAACGCUGGCGGCGCGCCUAACACAUGCAAGUCGAACGAGCGAGAGAGAGCUUGCUUUCUCGAGCGAGUGGCGAACGGGUGAGUAACGCGUGAGGAACCUGCCUCAAAGAGGGGGACAACAGUUGGAAACGACUGCUAAUACCGCAUAAGCCCACAGCUCGGCAUCGAGCAGAGGGAAAAGGAGCAAUCCGCUUUGAGAUGGCCUCGCGUCCGAUUAGCUAGUUGGUGAGGUAACGGCCCACCAAGGCGACGAUCGGUAGCCGGACUGAGAGGUUGAACGGCCACAUUGGGACUGAGACACGGCCCAGACUCCUACGGGAGGCAGCAGUGGGGAAUAUUGCACAAUGGGGGAAACCCUGAUGCAGCGACGCCGCGUGGAGGAAGAAGGUCUUCGGAUUGUAAACUCCUGUUGUUGAGGAAGAUAAUGACGGUACUCAACAAGGAAGUGACGGCUAACUACGUGCCAGCAGCCGCGGUAAAACGUAGGUCACAAGCGUUGUCCGGAAUUACUGGGUGUAAAGGGAGCGCAGGCGGGAAGGCAAGUUGGAAGUGAAAUCCAUGGGCUCAACCCAUGAACUGCUUCCAAAACUGGUUUUCUUGAGUAGUGCAGAGUAGGCGGAAUUCCCGGUGUAGCAGUGGAAUGCGUAGAUAUCGGGAGGAACACCAGUGGCGAAGGCGGCCUACUGGGCACCAACUGACGCUGAGGCUCGAAAGUGUGGGUAGCAAACAGGAUUAGAUACCUGGUAGUCCACACUGUAAACGAUGAUUACUAGGUGUUGGAGGAUUGACCCCUUCAGUGCCGCAGUUAACACAAUAAGUAAUCCACCUGGGGAGUACGACCGCAAGGUUGAAACUCAAAGGAAUUGACGGGGGCCCGCACAAGCAGUGGAGUAUGUGGUUUAAUUCGACGCAACGCGAAGAACCUUACCAAGUCUUGACAUCCUGCGACGCACAUAGAAAUAUGUGUUUCCUUCGGGACGCAGAGACAGGUGGUGCAUGGUUGUCGUCAGCUCGUGUCGUGAGAUGUUGGGUUAAGUCCCGCAACGAGCGCAACCCUUAUGGUCAGUUACUACGCAAGAGGACUCUGGCCAGACUGCCGUUGACAAAACGGAGGAAGGUGGGGAUGACGUCAAAUCAUCAUGCCCUUUAUGACUUGGGCUACACACGUACUACAAUGGCGUUAAACAAAGAGAAGCAAGACCGCGAGGUGGAGCAAAACUCAGAAACAACGUCCCAGUUCGGACUGCAGGCUGCAACUCGCCUGCACGAAGUCGGAAUUGCUAGUAAUCGCAGAUCAGCAUGCUGCGGUGAAUACGU
rnacentral:rRNA from 1 species